CCUACGGGAGGCAGCAGUAGGGAAUAUUGGGCAAUGGAGGCAACUCUGACCCAGCCAUGCCGCGUGCAGGAUGAAGGCCCUCGGGUUGUAAACUGCUUUUGUACGGAACGAAAAGGUUUGUCUUAAUACGAUGAGCUCAUGACGGUACCGUAAGAAUAAGCACCGGCUAACUACGUGCCAGCAGCCGCGGUAAUA
rnacentral:rRNA from 1 species